AUUUAUCUUAGAAAGAAAUGGUUUUUGCUGCCUCUAAUGCUUUAACAGAAAAUAUUUUGUAUGAGUGGAAGCCUAUAUGUAGGCACAACAAAGUUCCACGAUCUUGGAAAAGCAUGGACGAUAUAAUGAGUAGGUUCAUGAGAGGGUUCAAUUCUGAAAUUCGAACCAUGCACAUUCCUAAAACUUAUAGCCACAUUUCUAACUUGUUUUGUCUUGCCAAAAAUGCUGAAAAUCAGAUUUUAUAUCCGUGGAUACUUGCAAGAAUAAUAUGCCAUGUCAUGAUAAAUAUUUUUCCACUUUACAUGCUGAAAAAGACCAAGAAAUAGUGGAACCCGCUGCUGAUUUGCUUGCUGAACUUUGUGACAAAGAUGAGUUCUGUGACACGUCCAUUUCAUCACCACAAUUAGAGGUAGAGCACUCUAUUGUGCCUCUUUUGUUACCUAACAUUUUUCAGGUAGAUGAGAACAAUUCAAUAGAGUGCAUUGAAGAAAUUGAGCAAGAACACCCACCGCUGGAGUUGGAAAAAAAUGAUCGUGCUGCACCUACAACAUUGGAAGAGAAUAAAGAAGGUAAUGCAGGUGGUGCUAGAAUCCCUCAAGGUUCAGCCACAAGAAAGGGGGCAACAUUCAUUGUGGCCUUGCAACAUUGCCAUUGCUCUACGUGCCGAUGUCAAAACAAGUUCAUUGGCUGCCCAUUGGAGCAAGCUAGAAACAGCUUGUCAUCAAGACGGGGAAAUUGAUGGGAGCUCAUCAUGGCUGCACACACAAUGUCACCGUUUCAGCACCAUGACUACUUCACCAUGUUUGACUACACCAACAACUUGGCUAUAGCAACCUCGACUAGCUCUACAACAACCUCUCACAUUCAGUUUGGGACAAUAGGCCCAAGCUAUGCACAUGUUCAUCACUUGGUGUUUGAAAUCGAGUGCCUCCCUGGCCUCCUCCAUUCAUGCCUAUUCGAGGACUUGAUGGUGUGGCUGAUUCUAAAGUACAAGCAAGAAUCACGCAAGAGCUUGAGUCGAGGACGACUGAAAUGCAAGAAGGGGAGAAUGAUGUCGAUAUCCCUACCCCUGAUACAACCACACCUAUGGGACAGUAAGGAAAACAAAGUCGCACAACUAGAGAUUGAGCUUACAUGCCUAAUUCUCAGGAACUUGAAACAUGAAUCGGAUUGGAGGAAGAGCAACCACGACAAUGGACAGCCAGUUUGAACAGCGAGCUCGGACUUUGCCAGUUCGGAUCGGUCAGUUUGGACCGUGCCAGUUCGGACCUCCAGGCAAGGGCAACUUCAGAAGGCCACAACUCUUCGCUCCAAAGGUUAUUUGAGUCCCAUGAGUACUGCUUGGAAAGGUCUUGAAGUCUACUUUCAGAUGAAUCUAACCUCAUGAUGAAAUUCCCCCGGAGCUAAGCGGAAUCGCCAAAAUGACGUUUGGACUUCCAGACAUGGGCUAAGUCAUUUAUAUCUCGUCCAACCCACUAGGGGCCCAUUUUAAGUUAGGGUUUCAACCCCAGCACCCUCCUGGCUGCCUUCCCAUCUAUAUAAACUAGUAGCAACCACCAGGAUAUAUUUGGAUUUUGUUUUGUUGAAAGUUUAGCCAUUUCUUCUUCCUUGUAAAUGCGUGUGUCGACCAGACCAUCCGAUUUUCUUGAUUCAAAACCCCA